ensembl:miRNA gmo-mir-449a gmo-mir-449a
AGGCAGUGUCUUGUUAGCUGGUUUGUUGUGUGUUUGCCAGCUUACCUGCUACUGCCCU